UCCCAGUUCGGAUUGUAGUCUGCAACUCGACUACAUGAAGCCGGAAUCGCUAGUAAUCGCGGAUCAGAAUGCCGCGGUGAAUACGUUCCCGGGUCUUGUACACACCGCCCGUCACACCAUGGGAGCCGGAAAUGCCCGAAGUCAGUGACCCAACCGCGAGGAGGGAGCUGCCGAAGGCAGGUCUGGUAACUGGGGUGAAGUCGUAACAAGGUAAC
rnacentral:rRNA from 1 species